UACAGAGGUCUCAAGCGUUGUUCGGAUUCAUUGGGCGUAAAGGGUGCGUAGGCGGCGCGGUAAGUCGGGUGUGAAAUCUCGGAGCUUAACUCCGAAACUGCAUUCGAUACUGCCUCGCUUGAGUCCGGGAGGGGAGAGCGGAACUCCUAGUGUAGCGGUGAAAUGCGCAGAUAUUAGGAAGAACACCAGCGGCGAAGGCAGCACUCUGGGCUGGUACUGACGCUCAGGAGCGAAAGCGUGGGUAGCGAACAGG
rnacentral:rRNA from 1 species